rnacentral:tRNA from 1 species
GGAUGUGGCUCAGUGGUAGAGUGCUUACCUAACAUGCAUAAGACCCUGGGUUCAAUCCCCAGCACCACCA